rnacentral:rRNA from 1 species
AGUGAACGCUGGCGGUAGGCCUAACACAUGCAAGUCGAACGGCAGCACAGUAAGAGCUUGCUCUUACGGGUGGCGAGUGGCGGACGGGUGAGGAAUACAUCGGAAUCUACUUUUUCGUGGGGGAUAACGUAGGGAAACUUACGCUAAUACCGCAUACGACCUACGGGUGAAAGCAGGGGAUCUUCGGACCUUGCGCGAUUGAAUGAGCCGAUGUCGGAUUAGCUAGUUGGCGGGGUAAAGGCCCACCAAGGCGACGAUCCGUAGCUGGUCUGAGAGGAUGAUCGGCCACACGGGAACUGAGACACGGUCCAGACUACUACGGGAGGCAGCAGUGGGGAAUAUUGGACAAUGGGCGCAAGCCUGAUCCAGCCAUACCGCGUGGGUGAAGAAGGCCUUCGGGUUGUAAAGACCUUUUGUUGGGAAAGAAAAGCAGCAGGUUAAUACCCCGCUGUUCUGACGGUACCCAAAGAAUAAGCACCGGCUAACUUCGUG